GGUAUGUAGGUGGGGUUGUGAUAUAUUGUGCCCAGUGGGCCACUUUUGGUAAGCAGAACUGGCGCUGUGGGAUGAACCAAACGCAAUGUUACGGUGCCAAAAUUUACAACUCAUGCAGAUACCAUGAAAGGCGUUGCUUGCUUAAAACAGCAGGACGGUGGACAUGGAAGUCGUAAUCCGCUAAGGAGUGUGUAACAACUCACCUGCCGAAGCAACUAGCCCUUAAAAUGGAUGGCGCUUAAGUUGUAUACCUAUACAUUGCCGCUAAUGUAGAUGGUUUAUGCAUAAUUUCGGUUAUGUUAUAGAUUUUGAAACAUUAGUGAGUAGGAGGGUACAAUGGUGUGCCUAGAAGUGUUUGG
rnacentral:rRNA from 1 species